UACGUAGGGUGCAAGCGUUAAUCGGAAUUACUGGGCGUAAAGCGUGCGCAGGCGGUUGUGCAAGACAGAUGUGAAAUCCCCGGGCUCAACCUGGGAACUGCAUUUGUGACUGCACAGCUUGAGUGCGGCAGAGGGGGAUGGAAUUCCGCGUGUAGCAGUGAAAUGCGUAGAUAUGCGGAGGAACACCGAUGGCGAAGGCAGCCCCCUGGGAUAACACUGACGCUCAUGCACGAAAGCGUGGGGAGCAAACAGG
rnacentral:rRNA from 1 species